rnacentral:rRNA from 1 species
UACGUAGGGGGCAAGCGUUGUCCGGAAUCAUUGGGCGUAAAGAGCGUGUAGGCGGCUCGGUAAGUCCGCUGUGAAAGUCCAGGGCUCAACCCUGGAAUGCCGGUGGAAACUGUCGAGCUAGAGUCCGGAAGAGGCGAGUGGAAUUCCUGGUGUAGCGGUGAAAUGCGCAGAUAUCAGGAGGAACACCAAUGGCGAAGGCAGCUUGCUAAACAAACAUUGACGCUGAGGCACGAAAGCGUGGGGAUCAAACAGG